CACGUGAAUGAGUGAUUCUCUGGGCAAAAUUGUUCUGUAGGUGGUCGGGGGAGGGGGCGUAUCGUUUCAAAAUACGAUUGAGGAAAAAUUCAGUGAAGGUAGGACGGACUUUUGGUACACCCUGUACGUGUGACUUCGUGCUUACGUCACGCAUGGUAUCGGAUCGGAUUGUUUACUUUUCGUCGUUCCGUUCCACUUUUAGGUUAGUUUUACAUCAUUAUGACAUUAUUGCUCUGUUUUCCCUUUCUCAUGACAUUCUCAAUUUUGGUGGAAAUUUUAAGUUGCACUUAGAAUUAUAGAACAGUUGCCGAAGCUGUUAACUUUCUCCAUAUUGCCGAUUCGAUGAGCGAUUAACUGCAGUAAAUUUUUUGGUAUCUGUUUGCCUUAGUGCGGGAGUGAAGUCAUAGGUAACGUUUGUGUUUCAGACUAGACAAUAGACUCCCUUACUUGACUUACUCAUUUUUCUCUCAUGAAUUCAUUUUACGUGCCUUUAUGAACACUCUUAUCACAUUCUCCUCUGGAUUUUUGGCAACCACUUCGAUAGAACUGAGUAUUUCACCCAAGUGCUCUUGUAUUUGUCCAGCCUACGUAUUUCCUUGUUUCGUGCGAAGCCAACAUUAUCGAUCAGUUUAUUGGUGUCCAGUACAGAAUAACUUUAACUUAACCGUCAACAGUGUUUAAAGGUGUUUUUCUAUCACAUUCAUAAAUCUACUCUAAUCACCCUUGAUUAUUUUUACCUUGGCAUGACAUUUGGUUUAUACCUACUUCCAGUCCAACAAAACCAAUGUAUUCCUAGCACAUACCACUCUACACAUUGUUCAAGAAAAGCUCUUUUUAAAUCUCUCGUCAUCAUCAGUAUUUCUUAAACCAGAAUAUGGUUCAGCGACCAGUUGAUAAACGUGGCUUGUUAUUUAUAGAGUUCAUAUGUGGUUUAUUUGGUAAAAAUAAAACCUACCGUAUAUGUUAUGAUGAAGAUUUUAAUCGCAUCAGCAUCCGAUAUAAAUUAAAUUUUUGCUGCCGAACAAACAGUGUCCAUGAAGGGCGAAAAUGCACAAAAGUCAUAGUGAUCCCGUCAAAGAAAAUCUAUUAUGUAGAUUGCAUUCACGCUGAUUGUGAGUACGAGAAAAUCAUAGGGAACUGGUCUCCAGAAAACGAUGCAAAGAACAUCCCUGUCGAAUAUUUGGAGAACCUUGACUCCUUUCUUGAACGUGAGAGGCUUAGCUUUGAAGCGCACAUGAAGGAAGAGGAACAUAAUGCACAGAUGGCAGCAUUGGCAGGAAUUUCCUCCAGGCACGUUGCGUGUUUGUUCGCUCAUCGUAUUGAUCUGGUUCUCGCGCUCUCCGCGCACACAGGUUACUGA
rnacentral:lncRNA from 1 species